rnacentral:rRNA from 1 species
GCACCACAAGAGGUGGGACCUGCGGUUCAAUUGGAUUCAACGCCGGAAAACUCACCAGGGGCGACAGUUGGAUGAAAGCCAGGUUGACGAUCUUGCAAGACUAGCUGAGAGGUGGUGCAUGGCCAUCGUCAGCUCGUACCGUGAGGCGUCCUGUUAAGUCAGGCAACGAGCGAGAUCCUCGCCCUUAGUUGCCAUCGGUGGAAAGCCGGGCACUCUAGGGGGACCGCUGGCGCUAAGUCAGAGGAAGGAGAGGGCGACGGUAGGUCAGUAUGCCCCGAAUCCCCUGGGCUACACGCGGGUCACAAUGCGCAGGACAAUGAGAUGCAACCCCGUAAGGGGAAGCCAAACCCAUAAGCCUGCGCUCGGUUCGGAUCGAGGGCUGUAACUCGCCCUCGUGAAGCUGGAAUCUCUAGUAAUCGCGUGCCAACACCGCGCGGUGAAUGCGUCCCUGCUCCUUGCACACACCGCCCGUCAAGCCACUCGAGUGGGGUUUGGAUGAGGUCAGUUCAAGUUGUGCUGCUCGAAUCCGAGUUCUGCAAGAGGGGCU